rnacentral:lncRNA from 1 species
AGGACUCUACCAAAGGUUAUAUGAUUAAGACCAAUGUGAAAAUAUCUAGGAAAAAUAUGGUCUUGUAGGGCUAGGUCUAAACCAGAAUUUAUAGGAAGAUUAACAUAUUCCCUAGGUGUAGCUAAAAGUGCAAUAUCUUUUUGAUUAAAAGAUAGGACCUCGGCUAUAGAAAAGGGUUGGUUUUGACCUAUUGCAAUCAACUCCGGACACAGAUCAUAAUUAGGGGCAGGACGUGUUGACUCCCAUGGUCUAUGGCUGGUCUCCGAAGGUGCAAAGAAUUCAAUAAUAGGUAUGGAAUUUGAGUUAUCCAUAAAGAUGGAAAAAAUAAAAAGAUAAAAGAAUAAAAGUAUAAAAGUAUAAUACGAGAUAAUAGCAAGACUCAAAGUUAUCUCAGCAAACCGUCUUUCUCCCCGGCAACGGCGACAGAAAUGCUUGUUGAUAUUUGGUAACGCAAUUAGAAAAUGAUCCGCAAGCGCACAUAUAUCGGUGAGCAUUUCACCCGGGAGGUUUUCCAGAGUAUCGUAUUUAUAUUUUUACCACUAGGAGAAAGGGUGCAUCUGACUAACCAAAUCUAUUGCUACUACCCCUUUAGGCUACAAAGAAUGUUUCUCGAUGUGAGUGAUGUAUAGAGAAGACUGCAACCGUAGUCUCGUUCUAACCUUGGUAAGGAUGAUCUACUGUUCUAUUGGGGAGGCUCACGGAAUCUAGACAACACAAAGGAUGUUCAACCCGCACCUAUAAACCUACCCGUCCUGCUAACAAGAUAUGGGAUACAAAGGUAACUCGGAAAUGUCAUGUUCCUCGCUACUACCACGGUCCAGCUAGUCAGGGGAUAUCUAUGAGUACCCUAGCCUAAACACCACGUUUACGCCAGCAAUGAUUACUCUAAUACUCAACCGGAAGAGGAUUAAAGUAAACUCAUAAACCAAAGAACAAUAAAACAAUAACUUACUAGCAUUAGAAGUCGAAUUACUGAAGAAUCUUAGAAGCAAGCCUCGGGUGGUUAGGAGACUUGAUCCCGUAGGUACAACUCGGAGUAGACACCGACAGGCCGGCCUUCCUCCAAUCCACACCUCCACUCUAUCUCUCUCAAUCUAGUAGAAACUAGAAGAUCUAUUUCUACUUUACAUUGGUUGCUAAGCCUAAAAAGAAAUAUUAUUUAGAGAAGAGGUUUUCCUUCGAGGGCACCCCUCAAUCUCUAUGAUAAUCUCUUGUCUCCUCCAGGGGCCAGAGGGGGUCUCCUUAUAUAGUCCUCCCCUUCUAUGCGUUUUUAGGUCGAUAGGCGAGGUGGUACUAUGUUAUUCUAGAUCCAAUAGGUCGGUGGAACGUCGUGUGCGAAGAGAGUCCGGAACGGAGUCCAGAGGUGGGCGGGCGCCCAGGUCCUCAGGGCGGGCGCCCUGGGCCUGGCCCCUUUCGGGCUCCGCUUCCUUCCCGUGGCUUCUGGAGUCUUCUAGAUGGUAGAAAAUUGCGCGGUGGGUUGAUAUCUCUAUGUUAUCCCGAUAUGUGGGCCUUUCUUCCUUAUUUCCUGAUAACCCCCUGGAGAAAUAGACAAACACCAAAACUCGUGGAAUUCUGUCAGAUAAAACCCUAAGUCUAGAUGUUGAUUUCAUUUGGAUCCUUUUCUUUGUUUAUUUGAUAAUUAAAUUUGAUACUUAAGGACCGUCAACAGUAUUGCAUUGCUUGUUUGCUCUCUCCUUGUCGGUGGGGUUAGCGGGAUCAAGGAUCACAAAAUCAUUUUCCAUCACUUCCCACACUCUAUCAUUUAUUGAUCCAAGGUACAUUUUCAUUUUUCUUUUCCAAUAGUCAAAAGAUCUUGUGCCAUCAAAGAACGGUGGCUUGCCCCCAACAUGGUUGAACACUAUUUGAGCUAUAAUUUGAGCACCGAGGUUGUUAAGCCUUCACAAAACGGUGACCACGGCUCCGAUACCACUUGAAACAUCCUAAUAUGGCUAGAGGGGGGUGAAUAGCCUAUUUAAAAAUUCUACAAACUCACUAGAGCAAGAGGUUAGUAAAUAACAAAGCGAAGCUUUUUGCUCUAGCUCUAAAGGGGUGUUUGCAAGCCACCUAUCCAACAAUUCUAGUUGAUAUAAUCACUAGGCACACAAGAGCUAUGUCACUACUUACACUAGAAAGGUACCUAAAGUUUCUAUACAAGUAAGUAAUCUACUCUUGUUUGCGGGAAGGUAAAAAGAGAUAGUUUGAUAUUUAUACCGCCACGUAGAUGGGAUGAACCAAUCAAUAAUAUGAAGUCCAAUCACCGGGAGAAAUCCAAUGAACAAUCACAAUGGAGACACACAAUGUUCUCCCGAGGUUCACGUGUUUGGCAGCAUGCUACGUCCGCGUUGUGUCGACGAACACUUGGUGGUUCGAUGGCUAAGAGGUGUAGCAUGAACCUUGUCCUCACUAGGACACACCAAGAACCGACCCACAAGUGAGGUAGCUCAAUGACACGAGCAAUCCACUAGAGUUACCUUUCGGCUCUCGGCCGGGGAAGGUACAAGACCCCUCACAAUCACCGAGAGAUGGCCACGAACAAUCACCAACUUGUGCCAAUGCUCCUCCGCUACUCCAAGCCGUCUAGGUGGCGUCAACCACCAAGAGUAACAAGAAAACUGCAGCCAAAACGAUCCCAGGUGCCACUAGAUGCAAUCACUCAAGCAAAUGCACUUGGAAUCACUCCCAAUCUCACAAAGAUGAAUAAUCUAAGAAGGAGAUGAGUGGGAAGUGUUUGCUUAGGCUCACAAGGAUGUCAAGUAUGCUAGAAUACCAAGAGGGUGAGCCCUAAGCCGGCCAACACGUAUUUAUAAGCCCCUCAAACAAAUAGUGUCAUUGGCUCUUUCACUAGGCAGAAAACGGAGCCACCAGACGCUCUUCAUGUUACACCGGACGCGUCCGGUGCCUGGAACAAUUCCACCGUUUGAAAUCCAACCGUUACCGCCAACGUGAGUCUCCCUAUGGUCGCAGCACCGGACUCACAGUGAGUCCACAACGGACUCGUCUAGUCCUCAAUGAACUUUAACCCAGAGAGCUCUACAAGUGAAAAGAGCACCGGCCUCUUACCACCGGACCGUCCGGUGCUCACCGUUCUUAAACCCAGAGAGCAGUGCAAAAGCGUAGACCACCAGACUCUCCUCACCGGACACGCCUUGAGCGUCCGGUGCUUCCAGUCAAACACACCAGGUGAAGUCAAGUCACAGCAAACGCACCAACAGGAUCUCUCCUGCGUCCGGUGUCUAACCCUAGUAGAGCCAGGCACUACCUGCACACCGGAUGCAGAGACACAGCAUACGAUGCCUCUGGGCCAGCGUCCGAUGAGUGUUUCUCCCGCGACUUCUCCAAAUUUCCCACCAGUGCAAUAGACAAUAUGCACUUCAUUUUCUCAAAAAGCACCGAGCCCAUCCUCUCUCUACCCUUCAAACUCCACCUCCUUCUCAAAGUGUGCCAACACCACAAAGUGUGUACCAACAAGUGCACGUGUAUUAGAAUUUUCACAAUCAUUUUCUUUGAAUGAGUUAAGUUAGCUCACUAGGUUCUAAAUGCAUGCACAUGAAUAAUGACACCUAGUGGCACUUGAUAACCGCUUAGCCAAAGAAUUCGCCUCUUUAUAGUACGGCUAUCUAUCCUAAAUGUGAUCACACCCUCUAUAGUGUCUUGAUCACGAAAACCAAAACCCUAAGCAAUACCUUUGCCUUGUUCUCCAUAGGGUUUUGUUUUUCUCUUUCUUCUUUUCCAAGUUGAGCACUUGAUCAUCUUGUGGCCAUCACCAUGAUCAUUUCUUGCUCCAUCACUUGGCAUGUACCAACCUCAUUAAGUAUACACAGACUUAGUAUAGAGGUUAGUACAAGGGUUUCAUCAAUUAUCCAAAACCAAACUAGGGUUGUCACCUAGUUGGUGAAAACACGACUCUUGAGGAGAAGAUCUGCGGUAAGGCUUCUAUGCUCUUAUGUUUUCUUUGUUUGUGCGAUGUUCCUUUUCUAUCGUCUGAUUCCUUAUUUCGAUCUCUGCAGGGCUUAAGGAUGUUUGGCUGGUAGCCCAGGUUGACUCCUAGUCUCUUAAGGCGUAGCUCGAGGGAGAGGUCAUGUUGAUAGGUUGACUAAGAACAGCGAUCAACGACCUCUCGACCUCUUGGGAGCUCGAGCCUGCAAACAAGGCGGGGGAGACGGCUCGAGGUGAUGCUCUGGUCGACCAGCUAUGCUACCUUGGCGCCACUCUGAGGGACCGAGUGCGAGACGCACUCCAUACUAGGGUGAAGUGGGCUAUGGAGGUCGUAUGCUCGGGCUUCUCCUAUGAUAUGGAGGUAGUGUCCUACGGCUUCGUCACCGACAUCUCCAAGACCGAUGCUGAGAAUGAGGAGAGGCGCCAUGCCUUGAUCGACAAAGUAGAGGUUCCUAGCGAGAGGCUGGCGAAGCUGUUCGAGCCAGAGGUGCUCCCUCGUGAAGCCGGCGCGGGCACAGAAGAUGGGGGUGAGGGUGGAGAUGAUGACUAAGGCCUGUGGGCCUAAUUUGGGUACUUAGACCCAUUGUAAUAUAUUUAGUACUUGUCUUAGAUAAGCAUUGUGGCCCAAGUGGCCUUAAGACUCAUGGUUUCUAUAAAUACUUGUUAUUUUUAUGCUCGAGCUUCUUUUAUUGCUUUGUUGCCUAAGUUCAUGUUCCUCGAUUGCUCUUUUUGUUAAAAACGACCUCGAUUCCCUCGAGGCUAGGGGAGUGAGUAGAGUUACCGUAGCCCAGAGGUGUAGGGAUUCUCAGGCUCGACGUCCCCCGGCCCUUAAGGGGCUCGAGACGUCUUUACUCAAUCGCGCGGGAUUUCCAUAGGGCUUAAAAGGGAAAAGAUAGCGUGGAGCUUUUUGAAAAAUUGUUCGAUUUUUAGGAGCCCGUGGGGUUCCCCCCUGCUAGCCCCUAAGGGAGUUUUGACUAUGAUGGGUCAUAGUCGAGUCUUCCUCCUAAUCUCAAGAUUUAAUGGUAACAUUGUGUAUUACUUGGAGAAGUACUUUCAUUCAUUCAAAUAUUCAUUCAUGGAGCCUCAAUGGUACAAGAUGUGUGUGAAAUGUAAAGCCUCAAAGCUCUAGAGGUAGAAGCAACAUAGCUGUUCGAUGUUCCAUGUGUUGGUGAAGACAGCCCCCUUUUCAUCCGCGAGCUUGUACGUCCCGGGCUUCAAGACCUCAGCCACCACAUAUGGACCCUCCCAAGGUGGAGUCAGCUUGUGGCGUCCUUGAUUGCUUUGCCAUCGAUGUAGGAUGAGGUCGCCCACAUUCAGGUGCCUCUUGCAUACGUGCCUGUCGUGGUAGCGUCAGAGCUUCUACUGGUACCUUGCUGAGUUGAGGAGGGCCAUGUCUCGAGCUUCCUCGAGUUGGUCGACCGCGUUAUCUUGAGUCUCCUUGUUUGUCUGCUCAUUGUAUGCUUUGAGUCGAGGUGACCCAUACUCGAGGUCUGUUGGAAGCACGGCCUCAGAGCCAUAGACCAUGAAGAAUGGGGUGUAUUUCGUGGCUCUGCUCGGCAUCGUUCUUAAGCUCCACAGGACCGAGGAGUGUUCCUCGACCCAUUUCUUGCCGAACUUCUUCAACUGGUUGUAGAUUCUAGGCUUGAGCCCUUGCAAAAUCAUGCCGUUGGCAUGCUCGAUCUAGCCAUUAGUUUGAGGGUGAGCUACUGCAAACCAGUUCACACGGAUGUGAUGCCGAUCAUAGAAGUCCCCGUGAACUGUGUGCCAUUGUUGGGGAUGAUGACGUUGGGUAUCCCAGAUCAAUGGAUUAUGUCAGUGAAGAAGAGGAUGGCUUGCUCGGAGUGAAUGUUAGUGAUGGGUCGAGCUUCGAUCCAUUUUGAGAAUUUAUCGAUGGCUACUAGCAGAUGGGUAUACGCACGAGAUGCUUGUUGAUAUUUGUUAACGCCAUCAGAAAAUGAUCCGCAAGCGCAUGGAUAUCGGUGAGCACUUCACCCGGGAGGUUAUCCAGAGUAUCGUAUUUAUAUUUUUACCACUGGGAGAAAGCGUGCAUCUGACUAAGCAAAUCUAUUGCUACUACCAUUUAGGCUACAAACAAUGUGAUUUGAUGUGAGCGAUGUAUAGAGAAGACUACAACCGCACUCUCGUUCUAACCUUGGUAAGGAUGAUCUACUGUUCUAUUAGGGAGGCUUACGGAAUCUAGACACCACAAAGGAUGUUCGACCCGCACCUAUAAACCCUACCGAUCCUACUAACGGGAUUGUGGGCUAAAAAGGUAGCUACAGAAAUGUCAUGUUCCUCGCUACUACCACGGUCCUGCUAGAUAGGGGAUAUCUAUGAGUACCCUAGCCCAAACACCACGUUUACGCUAGCAAUGAUUACUCUAAACUCUACCGAAAGAGAUUAAAGUAAACUCAUAAACCAAAGAACAAUAAGAACAAAGAACUUACUAGAAUUUAGAAGUCGAAAUACUAAAGAAUCAUAGGAGCAAGCCUCGGGUUAGGAGACUUGAUCCCGCAGGUACAACCUCGGAGUAGACACUGACAGGCCGGGCUUCCUCUGAUCUAUACCUCCACUCUAUCUCUCUCAAUCUAAAAGAACUAAUUCUAAUCUCACAUUGGAUGCUAAGCCCUAUGAGGUUGGAACCCUAGAGGGACCUCUCUCUCUGAAUCCUCUCUAGAAAAUAUGCCAAUGAAUAAUGGGAUUGCCCUCCUCUAGGGGCCAGGGGGCCUGCUUAUAUAGCCCCUCCAAAUGAACGUGGGUCGUUGGAUCAAACCGACCUAAUCACACUGUUUUCCUUAAUCGUUUAGGUCGGUGGAGCAAAAUCCGUGAGACGAGACUUGAUUGGUCCCUCUAGCAGGGCGGGCACCCUAGGGGGGAGGGCGGGCGCCCUACCCCCAGGCCCGCUCGGCCUCCCGUUCGUUCCCAUGGCUUCUGGACUCUUCUAGAUGAUUGAAAAUUGUGCAGCACGUUAAUAUCUCUAUGUAAACCCAACGUGUGGGCCUUUCCUCCAUAUUUCCUCAUAACCCCCUGCAGAAAUAGACGAACACCAAAACUUGUGGAAUUCUGUCACAUAAAACCCUAAGUCUGGGUAUUGGUUGCAUUUGGAUCAUUUUCUUUAUUUAUUUGAUGAUUAUAUUUGGUACUUAAGGACCGUAAACAACUCCCCCAAGCUUACCUCUUGCUCGUCCCUAAGCAAGGAUGGACUCAAGAGUUUCUGCAGUGGUUUCAUGCCUUAAAAGUACACAUGCGUUCAAGCAAGAUCUCAUCUCUGAGUUAGAGUAAACUGUUAAGACUUAAAACUUACUCAUUUUACCUUUCACCAUGGGGCUUGCAACCGUCACUUGUGUCUUGAGCAGUUAAAAGAUAGAACAGUCUAGUCAAGCGUCAUGUCUCUUGUUAUUUGAUCAGUAUAGCUCUAGAGUUUUUGCAGAUUUUCAAAUAAAACUCAGAGAUUCCUUGUAUGACUCUCUCAAAUCUCUCUUUUGUGGUAUUUUUAGAUCCUUUCCAAGGCAAUAAUGGUAUAUGCCUUCUCUCAAAGUAUGUGGUAUUUUUGGUAUGAGGCAUAGUGAUAUUGCCUUCUCUCUCACCCUACUCUAAUAAGGUUUUGAUAUCUGGAGCUCAUAGGUGGGAGAUAAAGCAUACAUACUUACAAGACAUUUAUUGCAUAGUCAAACCAUGGAUCCAGAGAAACAAGUCAAUAAGUCAAAUCAAGAUGUGCAUGUGUGGCGAGUGAAUGGUGUAUGGUGAUGAUGGUGAUAACAAUGGUGAAAGUCUAAUUCUACUUUUGCUCUUUUUAGGGGAUACAUACCUUUCUUGCUCUUUUGAAACUUUUUGAGGAGAAUGAGAUGCUCUACAUUUUCUUUUUCUUUCCUCUCAGGUGGGUAUCUUGUACCCCUAAUUAUACUGUCGGACACUUAUCCAUUUUUACGUCUCGUCUCACUUUUUCUUUUCUUUCGAGGUUCUGGGCACUUGUCCCUUUUUAUUUCCUCAUAUCCUUUCUCUUUUUUUAAGCACUCAUCUCCUGAAAUAAUAUAGCAAGUGGUAGUAACCAAGAUAACUCGAGCAUUUAUUUUACAGGUAAAAACAGAAAUAGGAGAAUGUUUUUUGGCUAUUCUCUCCCGGAUGAGGAGUAUAAUACUUUUGGGUGGUUCUGGAGAUGGGAAUGAGUGGAUAUAUGUGGAUGCGUACUUCAGGAGUAGAAGCAGCAUGUGUGAGUGAACGUGCAAGUGAAUCUUGAUUUUAACCGCAUGACAAGCUCCUAAGGGUCUACACAACUUGACCACACUCAAUGCUCAUAAGCAGUAAAAAGUAAAUAUAUGGUUCAUAGUCUAAUAAGCAUGUAUAUAUGGCUGUGGUAGGAUUUUAAACUCUCAUCAUACAGGAACUCAUCAUGCAAUAUUUUAAAGAUUUUCAAAGAUAAAAUUCUCCAGAUUUCUAGCAUCUCUAGGAAUAGAUAAACAGCAGCUCAACCUUCCCAUAUCAUAUCCGUUAACGACUUAGACUUUAGAUCAAGUACUCUUCCCACAAGUUCAGGUUUAGAGCAGGUUUAAAUUAUAACAGUUAUGCCUAAACUUGAGAGAGAGCUCAAACUUGAAAACUAGGUACAUGGCAGAGCAACUAUUUAUCAUAUCCAUGUAAGAGUUUAUCAUUUAAGUUCAGUUUGGCCUAGACACUUUAUUUAUUUAUUUAGCAAACUAAGCAAAGAUAUAUAUAAGCAAAAAAAAAUUUAUUUGGGUUUUCAUGAUUAUGCAUCUUUUUAUUAUUUGAGUAAAGUAUAAACGCGAGUAGAAACACUUAGCUGGAUAAAUGGGGGUGCUCUCCCCCAAGCUGAAUUUUGACGUAAUUUCUUCUCAUGUAGCUAGCAGAUGACGGAGGUGUAUUUGAAUGUCGGCAACACCCUGACAGCGAUUACUAUGUCCUCUGCCGGCUAGUCUUCUUUGAUCCUUGAAUUUUGUGGAGCUCAAGUAGACAACAAAGCUUUGUGGAACUGGUUAAGUGUUAGCAUAAAAUCUCUUAGCCUUUAUCAUAUAGAGAUUCCUCCUAAUAAAUUUUAUUUAUUUAGCAGGAGCAUGCACUUAUUAUUUUUAUAUUUUUAUUGUAAGAUGAAAACAUAUUUAUUUUAUGCCACCACAGUCAAUAUACCUAUCGGUUUUAAACCACAAGUCUACUCACAUGGGGCUUUAGAUUUUAUGAUGCAGUGCAACGAACAAAUAUUUUUGUUGUCUUUUCUAAUGCUAAUGUGGAAAAGUAAAUAUGUUAAUGCAAGUGAUGGAAUAAAAAGGAAAAGGAAUGCAGAAAAGAUAAAUAUGGAUAAAUACCGAUUUUACCUUCCGGCAAGGAUCUAAUGUUUUAAGUCUUCUGGACAAGACUUCUCACCGUGUUCAUCCUUUAGGUGCAUCAUUUGAUUAGGUGUGGGCCUUGACAUCUGCAUCUCUUGAUACGGUGUCAUCCAUGUUCUUUGUUUGUCCAGCAGAUCGAGGUGCGGCAUUGGCAGCAUCCUACUCAGUGUGUUUGUGCUCUUAGAUCCAACUCCUUCACUUGGUGGAAUCUGGGAGUUGUAAAACUCCUUCAGGUUUUGCUCGAAGUGUACCUGCUCAUAGAGACAAGGUAGAGAUCAAGUGCAUGGGCCCUAUUGGUGAAAAACACCAACAGAACCAAAAGUGUAUUUGUUCUUCAAGACAAAGUUGAUGGAUAAUAAGAUCAUGAGUGUAGCAUUUAAAACAUUUGUCAGAUCAAAUCGCUCGACCUAAUGGAAAGAUAAUCUAUCUAUAUUUAUGUUUUUUAUAUCUUUCAAAGAUUGAAUGUGCAACAUUUUAGCUUAUAUGAUUAGGAGUGUGGGAUUAUGAAGGUAGUACUAAGAACAAAUAUUAGAGGACUAAACAUGUUGAAUUAAUUGGGUUGGUUAAUUUAUGUUUGUCUCUUUAUUCAUGUGAACGCCAGAACCAAGGAGAAGCUUAUAAAAGUGAUAGCCAAGUACCUUAAGAUGUUACCUUACAUGAACAGUGAUGGUACAGUAUCACCUUCUGGAAGCUUUCCUUUCUUAGCGGUUGUGCACCGUGUUUGUGGCACUCUUUGUCUUGUUCCAUGGAUCAUCUCUCUAUGAUGAAUGAGUUAUGUCUUCCUUGCGCAAAUCGUUAAACUUCAUGUGUCUCCUUUGUCUCCAAUGUGAGUUUGUAUCUCAGGACUUCCCAGGUUGAUACUGAAAGUUUUCCUGCAGGGGUUAGUUUGACAAAAUAUACCAAUGUCUACUCAAGCAUUUUUUAGUUCAGUAACCAAACUAGACUCCAUGUCUAAUCAAAUUAAGGAAGGCCAUUUAACCUAAGCACCACGCUUAAUUUAAAUGCCAAUGGAAGUAUGUCGAGUACUUCCAAACCAACACAUGCUUGUGAAUAGACAAAGGUAGCAUGACAGCAUUUAUAGAGAUCUACUCAGGUGGAGAUGAAAAAUAAGUUUAGUGUUUUGAAAAAUUGAGCAUGCCUCAAAAGCAGGGACAACCAACAUAGCAACAUGGCAAAGGAUGUUCUUAUGUAAGGUAUUUCCCCCAAGCUUGAAUUUUGCAAAAUUCAAGAUUGGAUGAAUUUAAUUCAAUGUUGCAUGAUGAUUGGUUGGGCAUACCUUGCGCUUGUCAUUCCUCGGAUCUUCUUGCACCAAUCCUAGAAAGCUUAGUGACACGAAUACCCGAAGGAAUAUUUCUACAAUUAUCUUUAUAUGCUUAAUACACAAGGCAAUGUUGCAAAUAAUUAAAAGUUCAUGUUAUGAUCUGAUAAGUGCUUGUUUUAGGACACUAAGCUUGUCCUUGGGAAACAAUCAAAUUAUGUUGGUGAAGUGGUUUCCCCUUCAACACCAACCUAAGCAUGCCUAUAUCAAGAUUGACUCAACGAUACCUGCAAUAUUUAUUAUAGACAUAUGCAUCGAUAACAACCCCUUUUAAGUUUUUAUAAAUAGAAAGGAAGAGGGGGUUGGAGAUCUCAAAUGUGGUAAGGUUGGAGAGACGAAUUGAUUGGGGAGAUGUUUUAUAUCAGCAAGGACUUGGUAAGGUAUUUAUGAAAUAACUUCCAUGCUCACUGUUGUUUCUCUCAUUCUCAAACUCCAAGGAUGAUUCUUCAUGAAUGCUUAAAAUUCCUCUAGGAUUGUCUCUCAAGUUUGUUUUAUCCAUCCAUUCAAUGGUGAUAGCACAUGGAUUUUUAAUGCCCUCUAGCCAUUGAUGUUGCUCUUCUCGAUCCUCCUUGUGGUCUUGGUGACUCUUAUGCAUGGGAUGGCUAGAGAGAUUCAUAGGAUCAUCGGGAGGUUCAAGAGAAAGAGCAUAGUAGGAAUUAUUAGGCUCAAGGAUGGGUUUAAAGAUAGGUUCGAAUGAGUCAUCAAAAGUGGACGUAGAAGGGGAGAAGAUGAGAUUGUCUUCUAAAUGGCUUCGCUCUCCUUCUAUUGCAUCACUUAAGAUGCCAUCCUUGAGUCUUUCUAGAUGUCCAUCAAAAGGAUUGGAUUUGAGAUGCUUUCUAAGAGAUCCCUUCUUAGGAAGGUUCAGACUAUAUGCAGUCAAAGGUCUCUUAUGAAGCAGGAAGUUUAAGCUCAUCCCAAAAUGAAUUUCCAAAGGUAGAAUUUCUUCUUCCCUUAGAUGAUUUUGGAGCACUACUAGUUUGGGUUGGAUAGCUGAAUCAUGGGAUUGAAAUGUAUGGAAAUCGGCUAUUGAAACUUCCUUUCCUCGUCUCAGAGAUGAUUCCUUCUCUAUCUCUAGGAUUUUUUUAUGAAGACUAGUGCAAGAAGGAUGUCCACGAAUGAAGACAUACCUUGCUUUACUAACAAAUAAAGAAAGAAAAACUCUACCAAAGGUUAUAUGAUUAAGAUCAAUGUGAAAAUAUCGAGGAAAAACAUGGUCUUGUAGGGCUAGGUCUAAAUCAGAAUUUAUAGAAAGAUUAAAAGAUUCCCUAGGUGUAGCUAAAAGUUCAUUAUCUUCUUGAUUAAAAGAUAGCACAUUGGCUAUAGAAAAGGGUUGGUUUUGACCUAUUGCAAUCAACUCCGGACACAGAUCGUAAUUAGGGGCAAAGAAAGGACUUGUUCACUCCCAUGGUCUAUGGCUGGUCUCCGAAGGUGCAAAAAAUUCAAUAAUAGGUGUGGAAUUUGAGUUAUCCAUCAAGAUGGAAAAAAUAAAAAGAUAAAAGAAUAAAAGUAUAAUACAAGAUAAUAGCAAGACUCAAAGUUAUCUCAGCAAACCGUCUUUCUCCCCGGCAACGGCACCACAAAUGCUUGUUGAUAUUUGUUAACGCCAUCAGGAAAUGAUCCGCAAGCGCACGGACAUCGGUGAGUACUUCACCCGGG